GAUGAACGCUAGCGACAGGCUUAACACAUGCAAGUCGAGGGGCAGCAUGAUUUGUAGCAAUACAGAUUGAUGGCGACCGGCGCACGGGUGAGUAACGCGUAUGCAACUUACCUAUCAGAGGGGGAUAGCCCGGCGAAAGUCGGAUUAAUACCCCAUAAAACAGGGGUCCCGCAUGGGAAUAUUUGUUAAAGAUUCAUCGCUGAUAGAUAGGCAUGCGUUCCAUUAGGCAGUUGGCGGGGUAACGGCCCACCAAACCGACGAUGGAUAGGGGUUCUGAGAGGAAGGUCCCCCACAUUGGUACUGAGACACGGACCAAACUCCUACGGGAGCAGCAGUGAGGAAUAUUGGUCAAUGGCCGAGAGGCUGAACCAGCCAAGUCGCGUGAAGGAGAAGGAUCUAGUGGGUUUAGUAAACUUCUAUCAGCAGGGAAG
rnacentral:rRNA from 1 species